rnacentral:rRNA from 1 species
GAUGAACGCUGGCGGCGUGCUUAACACAUGCAAGUCGAACGGUGAACACGGAGCUUGCUCUGUGGGAUCAGUGGCGAACGGGUGAGUAACACGUGAGCAACCUGCCCCUGACUCUGGGAUAAGCGCUGGAAACGGCGUCUAAUACUGGAUAUGUGACGUGACCGCAUGGUCUGCGUUUGGAAAGAUUUUUCGGUUGGGGAUGGGCUCGCGGCCUAUCAGCUUGUUGGUGAGGUAAUGGCUCACCAAGGCGUCGACGGGUAGCCGGCCUGAGAGGGUGACCGGCCACACUGGGACUGAGACACGGCCCAGACUCCUACGGGAAGCAGCAGUGGGGAAUAUUGCACAAUGGGCGCAAGCCUGAUGCAGCAACGCCGCGUGAGGGAUGACGGCCUUCGGGUUGUAAACCUCUUUUAGCAGGGAAGAAGCGAAAGUGACGGUACCUGCAGAAAAAGCGCCGGCUAACUACGUG